rnacentral:rRNA from 1 species
GAUGAACGCUGGCGGCGUGCCUAAUACAUGCAAGUCGAGCGAACAGAUGAGGAGCUUGCUCCUCUGACGUUAGCGGCGGACGGGUGAGUAACACGUGGAUAACCUACCUAUAAGACUGGGAUAACUUCGGGAAACCGGAGCUAAUACCGGAUAAUAUAUUGAACCGCAUGGUUCAAUAGUGAAAGACGGUUUUGCUGUCACUUAUAGAUGGAUCCGCGCCGCAUUAGCUAGUUGGUAAGGUAACGGCUUACCAAGGCAACGAUGCGUAGCCGACCUGAGAGGGUGAUCGGCCACACUGGAACUGAGACACGGUCCAGACUCCUACGGGAGGCAGCAGUAGGGAAUCUUCCGCAAUGGGCGAAAGCCUGACGGAGCAACGCCGCGUGAGUGAUGAAGGUCUUCGGAUCGUAAAACUUUGUUAUUAGGGAAGAACAAAUGUGUAAGUAACUAUGCACGUCUUGACGGUACCUAAUCAGAAAGCCACGGCUAACUACGUG